rnacentral:rRNA from 1 species
CGGGUGAGUAACGCGUGGAUAACCUGCCUCACACUGGGGGAUAACAGUUAGAAAUGACUGCUAACACCGCAUAAGCGCACAGUACCGCAUGGUACAGUGUGAAAAACUCCGGUGGUGUGAGAUGGAUCCGCGUCUGAUUAGCCAGUUGGCGGGUAACGGCCCACCAAAGCGACGAUCAGUAGCCGACCUGAGAGGGUGACCGGCCACAUUGGGACUGAGACACGGCCCAA